UACGGGAGGCAGCAGUGGGGAAUAUUGCACAAUGGGCGCAAGCCUGAUGCAGCCAUGCCGCGUGUAUGAAGAAGGCCUUCGGGUUGUAAAGUACUUUCAGUCGUGAGGAAGGUGUUAAGGUUAAUAACCUUAGCAAUUGACGUUAGCGACAGAAGAAGCACCGGCUAACUCCGUGCCAGCAGCCGCGGUAAUACGGAGGGUGCGAGCGUUAAUCGGAAUUACUGGGCGUAAAGGGCACGCAGGCGGUUAAUUAAGUUGGAUGUGAAAUCCCCGGGCUUAACCUGGGAAUGGCAUUCAAGACUGGUUAGCUAGAGUCUUGUAGAGGGGGUAGAAUUCCGAUGUGUAGCGGUGAAAUGCGUAGAGAUGUGGAGGAAUACCGGUGGCGAAGGCGGCCCCUGGGACAAAGACUGACGCUCAUGUGCGAAAGCGUGGGGAGCAAACAGGGAUUAGAUACC
rnacentral:rRNA from 1 species